rnacentral:misc_RNA from 1 species
AAGUCGUAACAAGGUUUCCGUAGGUGAACCUGCGGAAGGAUCAUUACCGAGUUAGGGUACUCUUCGUGCCCGACCUCCAACCCUUUGUCUACCUGACCAGAUGUUGCUUCGGCAGGCCCGCCGCCCCGCAAAGGGCAGCCGCCGGGGGUCCUUACCGGCCCCGGGUCCGUGCCUGUCGAUGGCCCUUCUAAAACUCUUGCUUAAAACGUGUCGUCUGAGUAAACAAACAAAAUAAAAACAAAACUUUCAACAACGGAUCUCUUGGUUCUG